rnacentral:lncRNA from 1 species
UCUCAAAUAAGAGAAAGAAACAAUGUUAGUUCUUCCAUCACAGAAUGCUCACCAACAAAGACAAAAUAUAAAGCAAGUAAUACAGUUCGGUCAAAUAUAAGGAAUCUAAUUUUAUUUUAAACAUCUGUAUCAACUAAACAAUCUCAAUUCAGACUAGACAAUAUUAACCAUAGCUAUUCUUGUAAAAAGAGGAUAAUGAAGACGAGUCUGUGGGUAUUUAGGAUUAUGCAAUUGACCAUAUUACCAACACUUAAAUAAAUAUGACAUCAGCUAAUUCAGUUCCACAUAUCACAGGAAAAAAUUCUUUUAACUGGAUUACUUCUUUUUGGCUAUGCUUUCCAGUAAAAAUUUUCAUAUUCGUGUUCAGAAGAUUGUCACAGAACACAGUAAAAUUUUAUUACAGACGUUCACACUAGACCUGAGACUGUGAGAUCUUUUACAAAUUACAAAAUAUAUAGCAUAUCCCAAAACUUUCCCAUUUUUCUCUUAUCAUAGAACAGCUAGAUAAAUUCUCAACUAUCCCUGAUUUUAUAUUAUUUUUAGAAUUUUAUUAAUUAUAUGCAACCGGCCAACCGUUCGUUACUAGUACAUAUGCAUAACCUCUCGAUACGUAGCAAUACAAAAGAAGUCUCACUCAAUCCUUAUUUACUACUUAAACAAGAACAUUUUGUUUUACUUAUCUAAUUACAAGUAAAAAAAAUAUUUAUAUACACUCCAAUCGUUCAUUAAAAACUUUUCAUAUGAUGGCAUGUCUCUGUUCUUCUGUCCCCAAGACUCAACCCCCAAUCACAGUCCUAUAUAUAUUCCAAACUCAGGGUAUCCCACAUCAUUCUAACAUAAAAUAGCUACUCAAUAAACAUUAAUAAAGAAAAUCCAGCUGUUUAAUAUGGUCACAACAUAUAGUCAAAGCAAACAACGCCGCUCAGACAAACAAUAAUUCUAGGUAAACUUUAAAAUAUACUCAAAAAGGCCAAAAUCAAAAAUCUCAAUGUCAUUCAAAAGCACAUAAUUCCUGAUUAGUACACAAGAUUAUCCCUAUACAUCUUAGGCAGUCAACAAAAAAUACAAAUGGCGUAAUAUGUCAAGAAUCCAAAAUGAGCUAAAAUCCAAUAAAAAAAAUUGCCUGACAGUCGUAUACAAACAAAACAUACCAACAAAAUAUACAGUUCGACAGAUUUAGC